rnacentral:rRNA from 2 species
CAUGGCUGUCGUCAGCUCGUGUUGUGAAAUGUUGGGUUAAGUCCCGCAACGAGCGCAACCCUUAUCCUUUGUUGCCAGCGGUCCGGCCGGGAACUCAAAGGAGACUGCCAGUGAUAAACUGGAGGAAGGUGGGGAUGACGUCAAGUCAUCAUGGCCCUUACGACCAGGGCUACACACGUGCUACAAUGGCGCAUACAAAGAGAAGCGACCUCGCGAGAGCAAGCGGACCUCAUAAAGUGCGUCGUAGUCCGGAUUGGAGUCUGCAACUCGACUCCAUGAAGUCGGAAUCGCUAGUAAUCGUGGAUCAGAAUGCCACGGUGAAUACGUUCCCGGGCCUUGUACACACCGCCCGUCACACCAUGGGAGUGGGUUGCAAAAGAAGUAGGUAGCUUAACCUUCGGGAGGGCGCUUACCACUUUGUGAUUCAUGACUGGGGUGAAGUCGUAACAAGGUAACCGUAGGGGAACCUGCGGUUGGAUCACCUCCUUACCUUAAAGAAGC